AUUGAACGCUGGCGGCAGGCCUAACACAUGCAAGUCGAACGAGUGGCGGACGGGUGAGUAAUGUCUGGGAAACUGCCCGAUGGAGGGGGAUAACUACUGGAAACGGUAGCUAAUACCGCAUACCAUCGGAUGUGCCCAGAUGGGAUUAGCUAGUAGGUGGGGUAACGGCUCACCUAGGCGGCGAUCCCUAGCUGGUCUGAGAGGUGGACCAGCAACACUGGAACUGAGACACGGUCCAGACUCCUAGGGUAGGCAGCAGUGGGGAACAUUGCAAAAUGGGGGCAAUCCGGAUACAGCCAUGCCGCUUGUAUGAGGAGGGCCUUCGGGUGUUAAAGUACUUUCAGCGAGGAGGCGUUACUCGCAGAGGAAGCACCGGCUAACUCCGUGCCAGCAGCCGCGGUAAUUC
rnacentral:rRNA from 1 species